CUCCCAGGAAAUGGGCAAAGAGACACCUUGUUGCUGGUGGUGUUCUUAUAUCAGUCAGGGGCAGAGCAGUUGGCAGCCCUGUGUUCAUCCCAGCUUGAUGCCUGGCUUGGUAGCCAAAGCUGGUUUAUGCCUAAGACUCAUAA